ensembl:lncRNA
UGAAUAUGCCAUGGCAAUGGAGUCUCAAUCAUCUAUCAGCUGAUUCAGAAGACCCAGACUUCCCAGGGAGUCGCACUUCCUCAGAACAGAGGUACUAGAUAAAGGUAUGCAAAAGGCAAGUUCUGGAACAAAAAUUUUAAAGACAGCAAUUUUAUUUAACUCCCAGGAAAGUGACUGUUCAUUUGGGGAUAACUAAUUGUUGUAGACCAUGAAGAACUCAUAAGGACAGAAGCUAUAUCAAGGCUUUACCCAGUGAGUGGUCAGCAUCGAGUUUGAUAUGUAUGUUGUCCAAAGCAGACAUAUCUCUCUUGCAGCCAGCACAGGGCUGCCACACCAGAUGUCCACUGAGGAGCUCUCUGUCAGCUUUAGCAACAUGAUAGAUUGACACAGGACAGAACCCAAAGGUCACCAAGAAGGGGAGCAGAAGAGAUGGAAACUUUGGACUAAGCCACAUAUGAAUAUGUUCUUAUUCUACCUGGCUAAUUUUUUAAACUAAUUCAUAUAUAAGAAUAAUUAAACAUUUGCAUCAAAACA